rnacentral:rRNA from 1 species
GAUGAACGCUGGCGGCGUGCCUAAUACAUGCAAGUCGAGCGAACAGACGAGGAGCUUGCUCCUCUGACGUAAGCGGCGGACGGGUGAGUAACACGUGGAUAACCUACCUAUAAGACUGGGAUAACUUCGGGAAACCGGAGCUAAUACCGGAUAAUAUAUUGAACCGCAUGGUUCAAUAGUGAAAGACGGUUUUGCUGUCACUUAUAGAUGGAUCCGCGCCGCAUUAGCUAGUUGGUAAGGUAACGGCUUACCAAGGCAACGAUGCGUAGCCGACCUGAGAGGGUGAUCGGCCACACUGGAACUGAGACACGGUCCAGACUCCUACGGGAGGCAGCAGUAGGGAAUCUUCCGCAAUGGGCGAAAGCCUGACGGAGCAACGCCGCGUGAGUGAUGAAGGUCUUCGGAUCGUAAAACUCUGUUAUUAGGGAAGAACAAAUGUGUAAGUAACUAUGCACGUCUUGACGGUACCUAAUCAGAAAGCCACGGCUAACUACGUG